rnacentral:sRNA from 1 species
AGUACGGGUAAGAUACGCCGGCGCUGA